CUUGGAGCAGGAGCUUGCAUCUCCAGCGAGGAGUGAAUGCUGGGCCUGGCCUUAUGGAAGCACUCUCAACAGGUGCAGCAGUUACCUCAUUCCAUGGAAGGCUCUUCAACUGGCCCUCCGUUUCCCACCAGCACAAUGCAGCAGCUUUCCCACCUCCAGGCCUAUGGAGGGGAGAAACUCAUGGAAGGGGCUGUAAACUGCAUUCAUUCUGCAAUAUGGAAGGAACAGGAGCAUAACACACCUCACUGCAUAACAGCUACCCUGCGGCUGUUGAGCUCCAGAGGCCAGCAGCACCAGGCACACUUUGCCACUCCACCAGUUUGUGGUCGUGUUCCAGCUCAGUUGAUUUGCAAGGCUUGAAAAGAAGAGGUGCACACAAGGGACCUGGCAGCACUCGUCCCUCCCUGUGGUUCCUGCUAAGGCUCCACCAAUGGAGAAUGGAUCAGGGCUAGGAAUAAACAUUUAUAAGCAACAGCUAUCCUGUUAAUUGUUUUUGUCUGAGUGAAUACUCCCUCAAGUUACAACACGAUCAAGACUCCUUGUCAGGAGAAACUUGCACAUGUGUGUGAUUCACUGAUAAAGCCCUAAAUCCUCCAGGCUUAGCAGCAGCAGAAUCAGCACAGGGCAAGCACAGACCUUACCAGAACAGCACGAACACUCUGGGAGAGAAAUCAAACACCAUUUAAAUCCUAGGUGAAGAUUCCUCCACCCAAAUCUGCUUGUUUAUGUACAAGCAAGGUGUUGUAGAUUCCUCCAAAUAUAGGGAGAAGCUUUGGCCGGCUUUGGUUCUUCAAGGGAGCUUUCUCAAUGGAAAUGGCUGAGAGGAAUUGGACAACCUGACGCGGGUUUAUGAAGGUUAGGCAUACACUGUGUAAUCUUUCAGAGCCAACAUCAAAACACAAGACCAAGCAAUCACGAAACAAACAGCAGAUAGCAAUCCCUAUAGGAAUUUCUUUGAGAGACCGUCUGAGAUGUGAGAGAAGCUUUGUCUGGUUCCAGUCGGGCUGCAAGGUGAAGAUGGCAUUGCAAGAGAAUACCAAAAACUGUGCAAGGAACGACAGAGAAGCUCUAAAGAAGAUGUUCCUCCAGCAUUAUGAGUGAAACCUUCUUAGCACUGCAAAUUGCUCUUCUGGAUUACGUGUAACUCAAGAAUUUCCAACAGCGGGUACUUGUACGUGCCUGUUCACCACAUCAGAGCUCUUAGGCUGUGAUUAAGGCUGGGAUCCAGCAGGUCUGGGUGCCCUUCCAGCUCCUGCCAUGGGCUGGCUGUAAUUCUAAGCAAAUGGUUUUAUGUGACCGCUUUAUGGGUCUCCUUUCUGUCAUCUCUCUCCUGCCUUGUCUGGAGGCUGGCCUCCAGCCUGAGGUAUGUUUUUACAGGGCUGAAUGUGAUGGGACCCUGACAUUCACUGGAGCAAGUGGGAUAAUUGCGUAUCCACCCAGAAAGCAAACAGAAGGAGAAUUCGGGCAAACAAAGGCAGAAGACUUUCAUUAGAGAGAACACUGGUUCACAUGCCAGUCCCAUCUCUUUAGAUGUCCAUCUUCUGAGACUACUGCAGUAACACUUCAGGGAAAAAUUAAACGUUCUGUGUUUGCACUAAGUUCUUUUUUCUUCAUCUAAGCUUCAAAAGACUUUUUCCCACAGGUGGGGCUCAACAUCAUUAUCUCCAUAACAGAAAAGACAAACAAGAAGGCAGAAGCUCACACCAGGGAGCUGAGAUCACAGUUUUCUACUGUAACCACAACCUUGAGCAGCACUCAUCUGUGUGCCCGUGUUCAGGAGGUCCUGAACUUUGCAGC